rnacentral:rRNA from 1 species
AUUGAACGCUGGCGGCAGGCUUAACACAUGCAAGUCGAACGAGUGGCGGACGGGUGAGUAAUGCUUGGGAAUCUAGCUUAUGGAGGGGGACAACUACGGGAAACUGUUGCCAAUACCGCGUACCAUAGGAUGAGCCCAAGUGGGUUUAGGUAGUUGGGGAGGUAAAGGCUUACCAAGCCGCCGAUCUAUAGCUGGUCUGAGAGGAUGAUCAGCCACACUGGGACUGAGACACGGCCCAGACUCCUACGGGAGGCAGCAGUGGGGAAUAUUGGGCAAUGGGGGCAACCUGACGCAGCCAUGCCGCGUGAAUGAAGAAGGCCUUCGGGUUGUAAAGUUCUUUAGGUAGCGAGGCGUUACCUACAGAAGAAGCACCGGCUAACUCCGUGCCAGCAGCCGCGGUAAUAC